GCAGACACAUUCCAGCCAAUCAGCAGCAGACCCUCCCUCCCAGACCCUCCCACCUCCUGGACAGCAUCCAUUUUACAUUCAUUGUGAAGCUGCAUUCUUAGUGAGCUGUCCAGGAGAUGGGAGGGUCUGGGAGGGAGGGUCUGCUGCUGAUUGGCUGGAAUGUGUCUG
rnacentral:miRNA from 1 species